GCGAUCAUACCAGCACUAAUGCUCCGGAUCCCAUCAGAACUACGAAGUUAAGCGUGCUUGGGCGAGAGCUGUACUAGGAUGGGUGGCGAGAGCUGUACUAGGAUGGGUGACCCCCCUGGGAAGUCCUCGUGUUGCACCU
rnacentral:rRNA from 1 species